UGCGUAGGUGGUGAGGUAAGUCGGAUGUGAAAUCUCCGGGCUCAACCCGGAAAUGGCAUUGGAAACUACCUUGCUGGAGGAUUUGAGGGGGGAUUGGAAUACUUGGUGUAGCAGUGAAAUGCGUAGAUAUCAAGUGGAACACCAGUGGCGAAGGCGAAUCCCUGGAAAAUACCUGACACUGAGGCACGAAAGUGGAGGGCGAACAAC
rnacentral:rRNA from 1 species